CUGACCUGAGUGCACGCUUGAUUCUUCUCUUCAUUUUCAUUAUGAUGAAAACAUAUCUGUGUGUUUGCCUUCUGUCUGCUGUCGUGGACGUGCAGGCUAAGAUCAACAUAAAGGGCAGUGUUGGGCAAAAUGUGACAGCUACAUGUUUAGGUUGGAACGUUUGGCUUAGUGAUGUAAAAACUAACGAUAAGUACAUUUGUAGAAGUCCCUGCACAGAACAAAAACACAUCAUCACCCAAGCAGCAUACAAAAAGACUAAACGUAAGGACAGAAUAGAGAUAACUAACUCUGAUGAAGGUUUAUUUGUGACCUUCUUUAAUCUGCAAAAGUCAGAAUCUGGAACGUAUUACUGUGGAGUUGAGAGAUAUGGUAGGGAUUCAUUUAUAGAGGUAAACCUUAAAGUCACAGAUGCUGAACAUUCAAAGCACAGGACCCCUGCUGUAACUGUCAUUGUUACACCUACUGUGUCAUCUGCUGUGUUAACAAACAUCACUGUGUCCAACGGCUCAAACACUGUCACAGAUUCACCACCGACCUCAUACAUAACAACUUCUGCGUUGGCGAUGCAACAAGUUGACAUCAUACCAUACUUGAUUUUUGGUCUCUUAAUAAUAUCAAUCGCACUGAUGGUCCUGUUGAAGCACAUGAGGGGUGCAAAGAGACAGCAGAGUAAGACGCUCACACAGACAUUUCACACGUGGCAAAAUCAGAAAAAAAAAACAAAAGCUCUGUGCUGUCUUGUGUUUUCAGACAUUACAUCAUUCGUUCACUGUCCACCAGAAGUUGCACAAAAUGAUGCUGUAUAUGAAGAAGUCGGCCUUAACGACCAACAAUCUGAGGGCCAACCAGCAGCUGCCGUCUCCACACCCAGCACUGACAUUGACCCAGACAGUCUCUAUGCAAAUUAUUUCUACCAACUACCUGCUAAGCGGCACAAUAGGCAUUCCACAAAUGUAUCUUUAAUUCCAACUUCUUCUUCUGAUGUCGAUCCAAAACAUGCAUGUGCAGAGGGCAAUGAUGUGGUGUACAGCCUCGCUCAACUACCUCAACUACCGAAAAAAGAAUCUGAAUACACAGGACAAUGUAAACCAAAUGACUCCCACAGCAUUGAAUAUAAUGAUGUAUAUUCCCUGGCUCUACUGCCACAGGUAACCUGAAGCGACCAAUCUGAGUGAAAUCCAUAAAAGCAGAUGUACAGUAUGAAGGUACCGUCUUCAUUUAAGGCUUUAAAAUGCAGAAUUUGAAAAUGUAGAAGUGCUGUGAGAACUGAAAAUGAAAAAAGCCUGAAAUAAAUGCUUCUUUUUCACUUCUAUGUUGCA
rnacentral:lncRNA from 1 species